UUGUAAUUUGUAGAGGAUGAUUUGGGGAAGCCGCCUGUCUAAGUUCCUUGGAACAGGACGUCAUAGAGGGUGAGAAUCCCGUAUGUGACAGGAAAUGGCACCCUAUGUAAAUCUCCUUCGACGAGUCGAGUUGUUUGGGAAUGCAGCUCUAAAUGGGAGGUAAAUUUCUUCUAAAGCUAAAUAUUGGCGAGAGACCGAUAGCGCACAAGUAGAGUGAUCGAAAGAUGAAAAGCACUUUGGAAAGAGAGUUAAAAAGCACGUGAAAUUGUUGAAAGGGAAGCGCUUGCAAUCAGACUUGUUUAAACUGUUCGGCCGGUCUUCUGACCGGUUUACUCAGUUUGGACAGGCCAGCAUCAGUUUCGGCGGCCGGAUAAAGGCUCUGGGAAUGUGGCCUCCACUUCGGUGGAGGUGUUAUAGCCCAGGGUGUAAUACGGCCAGCCGGGACUGAGGUCCGCGCUUCGGCUAGGAUGCUGGCGUAAUGGUUGUAAGCGACCCGUCUUGAAACACGGACCAAGGAGUCUAACAUCUAUGCGAGUGUUCGGGUGUCAAACCCCUGCGCGUAAUGAAAGUGAACGG
rnacentral:rRNA from 1 species